rnacentral:rRNA from 1 species
UAAUAUAUCGGAACGUACCCUGGAGUGGGGGAUAACGUAGCGAAAGUUACGCUAAUACCGCAUACGAUCUAAGGAUGAAAGUGGGGGAUCGCAAGACCUCAUGCUCCUGGAGCGGCCGAUAUCUGAUUAGCUAGUUUGUGGGGUAAAGGCCUACCAAGGCAUCGAUCAGUAGCUGGUCUGAGAGGACGACCAGCCACACUGGAACUGAGACACGGUCCAG